AUUAACAUAAAGAGUCGAACCUGCCCAAUGAUAUUUUUAAAUGGCCGCGGUACUCUGACCGUGCAAAGGUAGCAUAAUCAUUUGCCUUAUAAUUGAAGGCUAGUAUGAACGGUUUGACAAGAGUAGCACUGUCUCUACUAAAUUUUAUAGAAUUUGGUUUUUAGGUGAAGAAACCUAAAUAAAAUUGAAAGACAAGAAGACCCUAUCGAGCUUUAAAAAAUUUUUCUUAAAGAUUUUAGUUGGGGCGACUAAGGAACAACAAAAGCUUCUUUUUUAUAUAUAAACUUAUAUGUUUUGAUCCAAAAAAAUGAUUAAUAGAAUUAGUUACCGUAGGGAUAACAGCAUAAUCUUUUUUGAGAGUUCUUAUCGAAAAAAAGGUUUGUGACCUCGAUGUUGGACUAGGAUAUCCUAAAGGUGUAGAAGCCUUUAAAGGUUGGUCUGUUCGACCAUUAACA
rnacentral:rRNA from 3 species